AGUUGCCGCCAGGGGUAUCCCGCCUUCGCGCCGUCGGCGCUUCGGCGGGGUUGAGACAAACCCUGGAACCUGAUCCGGUUCAGACCGGCGGAGGGAGAGCGGAAUGAGCAAGUC
rnacentral:ncRNA from 2 species